GAUGAAGAACGUAGCGAAAUGCGAUAAGUAAUGUGAAUUGCAGAAUUCAGUGAAUCAUCGAAUCUUUGAACGCACAUUGCGCCCGCCAGUAUUCUGGCGGGCAUGCCUGUUCGAGCGUCAUUACAACCCUCAGGCCCCCGGGCCUGGCGUUGGGGAUCGGCGGAAGCCCCCUGCGGGCACAACGCCGUCCCCCAAAUACAGUGGCGGUCCCGCCGCAGCUUCCAUUGCGUAGUAGCUAACACCUCGCAACGGGAGAGCGGCGCGGCCACGCCGUAAAACACCCAACUUCUGAAUGUUGACCUCGAAUCAGGUAGGAAUACCCGCUGAACUUAAGCAUAUCAAAAGCGGAGGA
rnacentral:misc_RNA from 1 species